rnacentral:misc_RNA from 1 species
GUUAUUAGAUUUGCCCGCCAAAAAAAAAAUGAGGUUUUUUCAAUUCUCUCUGUUAUCUAAGGAUAUGAUUACAUUUAGCACAAUGUUUAAUUAAGCUGGGAAUAGACGAAGAAGAGCUACCAUGACUUAUGCUGAGACCUGGGCAAGGAGGAGAUAAAGUGGGAAGAACCUCAAGAAUAGAGCGAGGAGAAUAACAGGACACCAUUGCUGUUAAGUUGGAAGCUUUAUGAUGAGAUCCUUGGGCAGUUUCGCUGUCAGAAGCCAC